rnacentral:rRNA from 1 species
UACGUAGGGUCCGAGCGUUGUCCGGAAUUAUUGGGCGCAAAGGGCUCGUAGGCGGUCUGUCGCGUCGGGAGUGAAAACUUACAGCUUAACUGUGAGCGUGCUUCCGAUACGGGCAGACUUGAGGUAUUCAGGGGAGAACGGAAUUCCUGGUGUAGCGGUGAAAUGCGCAGAUAUCAGGAGGAACACCGGUGGCGAAGGCGGUUCUCUGGGAAUAUCCUGACGCUGAGGAGCGAAAGUGUGGGGAGCGAACAGG